rnacentral:rRNA from 1 species
CGUGAGCGGCGGACGGUGAGUAACGCGUGGUACUACCUCAUACAGGGGGAUAACAGUUGGAAACGGCUGCUAAUACCGCAUAAGCGCACAGUACCGCAUGGUACCGUGUGAAAAACUCCGGUGGUAUGAGAUGGACCCGCGUCUGAUUAGCUAGUUGGUGGGGUAACGGCCUACCAAGGCGACGAUCAGUAGCCGACCUGAGAGGGUGACCGGCCACAUUGGGACUGAGACACGGCCCAA